rnacentral:rRNA from 1 species
GGCCCUUCGGGGUACUCGAGUGGCGAACGGGUGAGUAACACGUGGGUGAUCUGCCCUGCACUUCGGGAUAAGCCUGGGAAACUGGGUCUAAUACCGGCUAGGACUACGGCCUUCAUGGGUUGUGGUGGAAAGCUUUUGCGGUGUGGGAUGGGCCCGCGGCCUAUCAGCUUGUUGGUGGGGUAAUGGCCUACCAAGGCGACGACGGGUAGCCGGCCUGAGAGGGUGUCCGGCCACACUGGGACUGAGAUACGGCCCAGACUCCUACGGGAGGCAGCAGUGGGGAAUAUUGCACAAUGGGCGCAAGCCUGAUGCAGCGACGCCGCGUGAGGGAUGACGGCCUUCGGGUUGUAAACCUCUUUCAGCAGGGACGAAGCGCAAGUGACGGUACCUGUAGAAGAAGGACCGGCCAACUACGUGCCAGCAGCCGCGGUAAUACGUAGGGUCCGAGCGUUGUCCGGAAUUACUGGGCGUAAAGAGCUCGUAGGUGGUUUGUCGCGUUGUUCGUGAAAACUCACAGCUUAACUGUGGGCGUGCGGGCGAUACGGGCAGACUUGAGUACUGCAGGGGAGACUGGAAUUCCUGGUGUAGCGGUGGAAUGCGCAGAUAUCAGGAGGAACACCGGUGGCGAAGGCGGGUCUCUGGGCAGUAACUGACGCUGAGGAGCGAAAGCGUGGGGAGCGAACAGGAUUAGAUACCCUGGUAGUCCACGCCGUAAACGGUGGGUACUAGGUGUGGGUUUCCUUCCUUGGGAUCCGUGCCGUAGCUAACGCAUUAAGUACCCCGCCUGGGGAGUACGGCCGCAAGGCUAAAACUCAAAGAAAUUGACGGGGGCCCGCACAAGCGGCGGAGCAUGUGGAUUAAUUCGAUGCAACGCGAAGAACCUUACCUGGGUUUGACAUGCACAGGACGUGCCUAGAGAUAGGUAUUCCCUUGUGGCCUGUGUGCAGGUGGUGCAUGGCUGUCGUCAGCUCGUGUCGUGAGAUGUUGGGUUAAGUCCCGCAACGAGCGCAACCCUUAUCUUAUGUUGCCAGCGCGUAAUGGCGGGGACUCGUGAGAGACUGCCGGGGUCAACUCGGAGGAAGGUGGGGAUGACGUCAAGUCAUCAUGCCCCUUAUGUCCAGGGCUUCACACAUGCUACAAUGGCCGGUACAAAGGGCUGCGAUGCCGUGAGGUGGAGCGAAUCCUUUCAAAGCCGGUCUCAGUUCGGAUCGGGGUCUGCAACUCGACCCCGUGAAGUCGGAGUCGCUAGUAAUCGCAGAUCAGCAACGCUGCGGUGAAUACGUUCCCGGGCCUUGUACACACCGCCCGUCACGUCAUGAAAGUCGGUAACACCCGAAGCCGGUGGCCUAACCCCU